rnacentral:rRNA from 1 species
GAUGAACGCUGGCGGCGUGCCUAAUACAUGCAAGUCGAGCGAACGGACGAGAAGCUUGCUUCUCUGAUGUUAGCGGCGGACGGGUGAGUAACACGUGGAUAACCUACCUAUAAGACUGGGAUAACUUCGGGAAACCGGAGCUAAUACCGGAUAAUAUUUUGAACCGCAUGGUUCAAAAGUGAAAGACGGUCUUGCUGUCACUUAUAGAUGGACCCGCGCUGCAUUAGCUAGUUGGUAAGGUAACGGCUUACCAAGGCAACGAUGCAUAGCCGACCUGAGAGGGUGAUCGGCCACACUGGAACUGAGACACGGUCCAGACUCCUACGGGAGGCAGCAGUAGGGAAUCUUCCGCAAUGGGCGAAAGCCUGACGGGGCAACGCCGCGUGAGUGAUGAAGGUCUUCGGAUCGUAAAACUCUGUUAUUAGGGAAGAACAUAUGUGUAAGUAACUGUGCACAUCUUGACGGUACCUAAUCAGAAAGCCACGGCUAACUACGUG